rnacentral:lncRNA from 1 species
UCCGCUACAGAAGUUCGAUCGGAGUCUGAUCUCCGUAAAAGCUUGGAUGGGGAUCAUUUAUCGAGGAAGCUCGACCGAAGCCUGCCUGCAAUAGAAAUUUGAAAGAAAUUCAUCCACAAUGAAAGCUCGGGUGAAGGCUUACAGUGGAAGUCCGACGUGGACCGCUCGUAGUAGAAAUUUAAAGUAGACCGCUUGUAGCAGAAGCUCGGAGUCUGGCCCUUGUAGGAGUUCGGAUGAGGUCUACCUGCAACAGGAGUUCAGGGUAGAAGUUCGGCUCCCAUAGGAGCUCGGACGGAGUCUACCUUCAGUCGGAGUUCGGGGAUGAAGUCUGGCUCCCGUAGGAGCUCGGACGAAUUCUACCUGUAGUCGGAGUUUGGGGAAGAAGUCCGACUCCCGUAGGAGCCCGGAUGAAGGCUACCUGCAGCUGGAGUUUGAGGAAGAAGUCUGGCUCCCGUAGGAGCUCGGACGAAGUCUACCUAUUCGGGGAAAAAGUCCGACUCCCGUAGGAGCCCGGAUGAAGUCUACCUGCAGUCGAAGUUCGGAGAAGAAGUCCAGCUCCCGUAGGGGCCCGGACGAAGGCUACCUGCAGUCGGAGUUCGGGGAAGAAGUCCGACUCUCGUAGGAGCUUGGAUGAAGUCUACCUGCAGUUGGAGUUCGGGGAAGAAGUCCGACUCCCGUAGGAGCCCGGACGGAGUCUAGAAGGUGGUCGACCACCGUAGAAACUUGGAUGGAGUCCGUCCAUCACAGAGAAUUCGAUCGACACUGGUGGAGGUUUAUCCAUCGACAGAACUCGAGAACAUUGCAGAGGCUCGACCAUCGGAGAGGUUCGAAAAGAUGUCGCCGAAGGUCGGACAUCGGCAGAAUCCCUGGAGGGUCACUCCUGACACAAAUUUUGGCUGGGAGGUAUUUUAUACCCAACACCAGUCCCCCUACUUCUGAGUUCGAGUUUUGAAUGAAGAAAGUACGGAGAAAUUUUUACAGCCGAAGUUGCUUCCU